rnacentral:lncRNA from 1 species
UAAACAAGCUUUACUUGACAUCGCUGCCAGUUCUGAUGACGAUGAAGGGCUAUAUGCACAUCUAAAAUCUUUGUAAGAUCAUCUCUUUGCUUAUUGUAGCCUUAUGUUACUUAUGUUGCCUUCUUCCACCGGCCUUUUUCAGAAUAUGAUUGUUGCAGGUGUCUGGCAGACAACUUUGCACUCCAGGCAAGCCAUCAGAGGUCUUCAGGUUUCCUGUGGCAUAUAGCUCCAAGAAGACAAAAAAGAGGAAAUCGUGGGGAAGAUUUGCAUAUACAAGUUCAUGAAAACAGGCAGCAAGGAAGACAAGGGCCCCAGCCGUGCCUUCCACAAUGGAUACGACUACAACAUGAGCCUCACCAGGCAGAGGUGCCAGUCUAGUUUAAAAGAAAAGGAGCACCCAGACUGCUUGCCUAUCUGAGAUCUUGUUCCACUAGCCAGGUGGCUUUUG